AGAAUCAACGCUGGCGGCGUGCCUAACACAUGCAAGUCGAACGAGAAAGUGGAGCAAUCCAUGAGUACAGUGGCGACCGGGUGAGUAACGACGUGACCAACCUACCCUUGAGUGGGGGAUAACCUAGAGAAAUCUGGGCUAAUACCGCAUAAUACCUUCGGGUCAAAGGAGCAAUUCGCUUAAGGAGGGGGUCGCGGCCGAUUAGUUAGUUGGCGGGGUAAUGGCCCACCAAGACUAUGAUCGGUA
rnacentral:rRNA from 1 species